ensembl:piRNA 21ur-857 ncRNA
CUGCACGAAGUGUUUUUUCAA